rnacentral:lncRNA from 1 species
AUAAUGAUUAGCUCAUCCGUAAUUAUAUGGGAUUUACGAUUAAGCAGCAAGUUUAUUUUGGAACACUGCAAUAACAAGACGUACAUGAGGAGGUGGGAGGAGGGGGCGGAGUUCUGGUAGCUUGGCCUUUGGAAAAUAAUAGCUUGCUGUCGCCAUGACAACGUGUUCCCUGGAGGUCAGAGCUGCUCCGUUUCCUACCAUCAGAAGAGAUCUUGGGUUUAAAAUAUGUAUAUAUACAAUAAGAAUCAAAAGUAUAAUUUUUGAAACAUGCUUUCGAAAUCCUUUUUGGUGGUUGAAAGUAGAAGAACCUGUGUAACAAAGACUAUUCUUACACACCAUCUGCUAAAAGGAGCCUGGGGCCGCAGCUGCUCAGUCUCUCCUCUGAGCCAGGCGGACCUGCUCUGAAUGCUAAUGCUUGUUUACCAACUGCAAUGUGCCCCUGAAAGGGAAGGACGCGUCCAGGCACACAAGAUUUCCUGCUUCCUGUUGUGAACAAAUUACAACAGCAAGCAGUGGCAAGCCUUCAUCCAGUCACUCAUCCAAAUUCCUCAUAUUCUCUUGGCCAGAGUCAUGCAGGGGGACAAAUGAGUUGGACCCUGAACUGAAUCAUAAGAGAUCAGGCCAGAUUCCAUUUUGGAAAUCACACCAAGCUUUCAAUGAUGCCAAACUGCUUUGUGCAAACUACAAAUUUGAUAAGCAUGUUCAUCAGCUCAAACUCAUGAUUAGAAAGAAACAAAACAAUGGCAAGCCAUCUAUCCCUGAACAAAAAAGAAGUCUCCUGAAUCAUCACAAAGAAAGUAUACUCAGUGAGGAUGCAUCGCAGGGAUGUAAACUCAGUAAGCAUGCAGCACAGGUUCCAGGGGAUGCAGACUCCCUCAUCUCCCUCCCUCCAUCUCCAGAAACUUAUCUGACCACAAGGGCAUAUUGACUUCUAUGGCAGCGGGAUAUCCAUCAAGUCUGAAGAGCACCAACUCCUUACAGAGCUGGCUUUUUUAUGCCCUAGACAACUGGGAAUCCAUGUCAGCAGCUCAAGCUGUUGUCAGACUAAUCAAGUCUUAGGUACAGAUUUCUUGCCUUUGCCAGGAUUGGGGAGAGAUGAAUCUAGCCAUCCUAAUGGCUAUUGCUCCUGCCAUACACGUCAUACCUUUACUCAAGUCAUUGAUAAAAACGUUAGACUGCAAAGAACCAAGUACAGAUCCCUAGAGCAAUUGGAGACCAACAAGCUUGACCCUGAACUCUUAAACACUAGUCUUUGAGUCUCUCCAUUCAAGUGGCCUGAAUCCAUGAAGAUCUGUUAUUGUUUGGUCCACAUCUCUCCAUCUUUUCUAUGAAAAAAAAGAACUUUUAUCAGAACCUUUAUCAAACGUUUUGCUAAAAUCUAGGCAAGCUAUAUUUAUAAGUGUUUACAGAACAAUUCAAUUUGGUAACUCUUUCAAAGAAGAAAAUAAAUUUUGUGUGGAAC